rnacentral:rRNA from 1 species
AUUGAACGCUGGCGGUAUGCCUUACACAUGCAAGUCGAACGGUAGAGGGGCAACCCUCGAGAGUGGCGAACGGGUGAGUAAUACAUCGGAACGUGCCCAGUCGUGGGGGAUAACGUAGCGAAAGCUACGCUAAUACCGCAUACGACCUGAGGGUGAAAGCGGGGGAUCUUCGGACCUCGCGCGAUUGGAGCGGCCGAUGGCAGAUUAGGUAAUUGGUAGGGUAAAGGCCCACCAAGCCUGCGAUCUGUAGCUGGUCUGAGAGGACGACCAGCCAGACUGGGACUGAGACACGGCCCAGAGCGCUACGGGAGGCAGCAGUGGGGAAUUUUGGACAAUGGGCGAAAGCCGUAUCCAGCCAUACCGCGUGCGGGAAGAAGGCCUUCGGGUUGUAAACCGCUUUUGUCAGGGAAGAAAUCUUCUGGGUUAAUACCUCGGGAGGAUGACGGUACCUGAAGAAUAAGCACCGGCUAACUACGUGCCAGCCGCCGCGGUAACAC